UACGUAGGGACCAAGCGUUGUUCGGAAUUACUGGGCGUAAAGGGCGCGUAGGCGGCCUCCGCAAGUCAGUUGGGAAAUCUCCGAGCUUAACUCGGAAAGGUCAACUGAUACUGCGGGGCUAGAGUGCGGAAGGGGCAACUGGAAUUCUUGGUGUAGCGGUGAAAUGCGUAGAUAUCAAGAGGAACACCUGCGGCGAAGGCGGGUUGCUGGGCCGACACUGACGCUGAGGCGCGAAAGCUAGGGGAGCGAACGGG
rnacentral:rRNA from 1 species